AGUGAACGCUGGCGGUAGGCCUAACACAUGCAAGUCGAACGGCAGCACAGUAAGAGCUUGCUCUUACGGGUGGCGAGUGGCGGACGGGUGAGGCAUACAUCGGAAUCUACUUUUUCGUGGGGGAUAACGUAGGGAAACUUACGCUAAUACCGCAUACGACCUACGGGUGAAAGCAGGGGAUCUUCGGACCUUGCGCGAUUGAAUGAGCCGAUGUCGGAUUAGCUAGUUGGCGGGGUAAAGGCCCACCAAGGCGACGAUCCGUAGCUGGUCUGAGAGGAUGAUCAGCCACACUGGAACUGAGACACGGCCCAGACUCCUACGGGAGGCAGCAGUGGGGAAUAUUGGACAAUGGGCGCAAGCCUGAUCCAGCCAUACCGCGUGAGUGAAGAAGGCCUUCGGGUUGUAAAGCCCUUUUGUUGGGAAAGAAAAGCAGCAGGUUAAUACCCCGCUGUUCUGACGGUACCCAAAGAAUAAGCACCGGCUAACUUCGUG
rnacentral:rRNA from 1 species